rnacentral:lncRNA from 1 species
AGCUUAUUAGUAAUCCACACACAAAAAUAACCCAACAGCAACAACAACUCUUAUGCACAGUAGCUUAAGUUACUGAUACUUCCAAGUUCCUUAGAGGAAAGGUCCCAGGUUAUUGUUAAUUUCACAUGCUAACUGUAAUAAAUAAGUUUAUGGUUCUUAAAAUUACGUAAGCACAUUAUCUAUUAUGAUCAGUGAGGUGAUAGAUCAUUUGCUAUACAAUUUCAAUCAUCCAGAACCUAAAAUACGCACUUAAAAGAGUAGAUCUUUUUGAUCUUUCAUAACAAUGGGCUUCAUA